AACCUAGCACACCUGCGGUGUGUACCUGCGGAAGGAUCAUUACCUAGAGUUGCGGGCUUUGCCUGCCAUCUCUUACCCAUGUCUUUUGAGUACCUUCGUUUCCUCGGCGGGUUCGCCCGCCGGUUGGACAACACUUAAACCCUUUGUAAUUGAAAUCAGCGUCUGAAAAAACUUUAAUAGUUACAACUUUCAACAACGGAUCU
rnacentral:misc_RNA from 1 species